UACAAUGACUCUCGGCAACGGAUAUCUCGGCUCUGGCAUCGAUAAAGAACGUAGCGAAAUGCGAUACUUGGUGUGAAUUGCAGAAUCCCGUGAACCAUCGAGUCUUUGAACGCAAGUUGCGCCCGAAGCCAUUAGGCCGAGGGCACGUCUGCCUGGGUGUCACA
rnacentral:rRNA from 1 species